rnacentral:rRNA from 1 species
AUUAGAUGAGCCUAUAUUAGAUUAGCUAGUUGGUGGGGUAAUAGCCUACCAAGGUAAUGAUCUAUAGCUGAUCUGAGAGGAUGAUCAGCCACACUGGAACUGAGAUACGGUCCAGACUCCUACGGGAGGCAGCAGUGGGGAAUAUUGGACAAUGGGCGAAAGCCUGAUCCAGCCAUGCCGCAUGAGUGAAGAAGGCCUUUGGGUUGUAAAGCUCUUUUAGUGAGGAAGAUAAUGACGGUACUCACAGAAGAAGUCCUGGCUAACUCCGUGCCAGCAGCCGCGGUAAUACGGAGAGGGCUAGCGUUAUUCGGAAUUAUUGGGCGUAAAGGGCGCGUAGGCUGGUUAAUAAGUUAAAAGUGAAAUCCCGAGGCUUAACCUUGGAAUUGCUUUUAAAACUAUUAAUCUAGAAAUUGAAAGAGGAUAGAGGAAUUCCUGAUGUAGAGGUAAAAUUCGUAAAUAUUAGGAGGAACACCAGUGGCGAAGGCGUCUAUCUGGUUCAAAUCUGACGCUGAAGCGCGAAGGCGUGGGGAGCAAACAGGAUUAGAUACCCUGGUAGUCCACGCUGUAAAUGAUGAAUGUUAAAUAUGGGGAG